rnacentral:sRNA from 1 species
GAGAAGCAAGCCCGCGGCUCAACCACCUUGCAGGAGAGCCGAGAGGGGCUGCCCGAGGAAGAGGCUCCCCGGCCCCAGCUGGACCUGCAGGCCUCCAAAAAGCUGCCAGAUCUCUAUGGCAAUCCACCCCGAGAGCUCAUCGGAGAGCCCCUGGAGGACCUGGACCCCUUCUAUAGCAACCAAAAGACUUUCAUCGUACUGAAUAAAGGCAAGACCAUCUUCCGGUUCAGUGCCACCAACGCCUUGUAUGUCCUCAGUCCCUUCCACCCCAUCCGGAGAGCGGCUGUGAAGAUUCUGGUUCACUCAUAUCCUUUGCAGUUAAUACCUGCUGAGUACCCCCUGGGGGCCCACGCUGGGGAUGUGCACGUGCUGCCCCCACCCCACCUCCAUUCUAGUUUAGGAAUGAGAGUAGCGCUGAUUCCCUGCUGGUCCUAAGACAAAUGCAUGGUCAUGACCUGGGAGCUGGUUGGAAAUGAAGAACCUCUGACCUUCCUCCAGACCUGCCAAGUCAGCAUCUGCAUUUUCAUUUGAUCCCCAGGGGAUUCUUGGGCACAUGAAAGUUUGAGAAACCUGCUUCUGAUUCUUCAGAACAUUCUAGAAGCUAAGCUACUGAGGAUCCCAGAAGAAAUGACGUCUGUCGGGCUCUGAUAUUGGCUCCAAAUAUCCCUCCCCACCACACCCCCUUGGUCCAUCCUCCUCCCCACCCACUUGCAGGGACCUUCAAGCAGGUCACCAGAACUUAGCCAAGGAAAAACCAUUUCCCAAUAAAGAGGC